rnacentral:rRNA from 1 species
UAGAGUUUGAUCCUGGCUCAGGACGAACGCUGGCGGCGUGCUUCAAACAUGCAAGUCGAACGAAGUUGGAGGGAGCUUGCUCCCAACAACUUAGUGGCGGACGGGUGAGUAACGCGUGAGCAAUCUGGCUAUUACAGGGGGAUAACACAGAGAAAUUUGUGCUAAUACCGCAUAAGACCACAGCCUGACAUCAGGGAGGGGUCAAAGGAGAAAUCCGGUAAUAGAUGAGCUUGCGUCUCAUUAGCUAGUUGGUGAGGGUAACGGCCCACCAAGGCGACGAUGAGUAGCCGAUCUGAGAGGAUGAACGGCCACACUGGAAUUGAGAAACGGUCCAGACUCCUACGGGAGGCAGCAGUUAGGAAUAUUGGGCAAUGGAGGAAACUCUGACCCAGCAACGCCGCGUGAAGGAAGAAGGUUUUCGGAUUGUAAACUUCUGAUCUGUGGGAAGAAGAA